rnacentral:rRNA from 1 species
CGGGUGAGUAAUGCUUGGGAAUCUAGCUUAUGGAGGGGGAUAACGACGGGAAACUGUAGCUAAUACCGCGUAGUAUCGGAAGAUGAAAGUGUGGGACCUUCGGGCCACAUGCCAUAGGAUGAGCCCAAGUGGGAUUAGGUAGUUGGUGAGGUAAAGGCUCACCAAGCCGACGAUCUCUAGCUGGUCUGAGAGGAUGACCAGCCACACUGGGACUGAGACACGGCCCAG